rnacentral:rRNA from 1 species
AACGACGCUGGCGGCAUGCCUAACACAUGCAAGUCGAACGAAGCCUUCGGGCUUAGUGGCGCACGGGUGCGUAACACGUGGGAAUCUGCCCUUCGGUUCGGAAUAACAGUUAGAAAUGACUGCUAAUACCGGAUGAUGACGUAAGUCCAAAGAUUUAUCGCCGAAGGAUGAGCCCGCGUAGGAUUAGGUAGUUGGUAGGGUAAUGGCCUACCAAGCCGACGAUCCUUAGCUGGUCUGAGAGGAUGAUCAGCCACACUGGGACUGAGACACGGCCCAGACUCCUACGGGAGGCAGCAGUGGGGAAUAUUGGACAAUGGGCGAAAGCCUGAUCCAGCAAUGCCGCGUGAGUGAUGAAGGCCUUAGGGUUGUAAAGCUCUUUUACCAGGGAUGAUAAUGACAGUACCUGGAGAAUAAGCUCCGGCUAACUCCGUG